rnacentral:tRNA from 1 species
GCGCGAGUGGCGGAACUGGCAGACGCGCGGGUCUUAGGAGCCCGUGGGGUAACCCGUGGAGGUUCAAGUCCUCUCUCGCGCACCA